rnacentral:rRNA from 1 species
AGAGGUCCAGCCUGCCCAGUGACUUUGUUCAACGGCCGCGGUAUCCUAACCGUGCGAAGGUAGCGUAAUCACUUGUCUUUUAAAUGGGGACUUGUAUGAACGGCAUCACGAGGGUUAUACUGUCUCCUUUUUCUAAUCAGUGAAACUAAUCUUCCCGUGAAGAAGCGGGAAUAAACAUAUAAGACGAGAAGACCCUAUGGAGCUUUAAACUCAAUAACAAAUACUGACCUUACAUCAACUUUCAGAAGAUUCACCUUAAUUUUAGUAUUAUGAUUAUUAGUUUUAGGUUGGGGUGACCGCGGAGUAAAAAUUAACCUCCACAUUGAACGGGACCUAUCCCUGAGCCAAGAACUACAGCUCAAAGCACCAACAAAUUGACAUUAAUUGACCCAAUAUUUUGAUCAACGAACCAAGUUACCCUAGGGAUAACAGCGCAAUCCACUUCAAGAGCCCCUAUCAACAAGUGGGUUUACGACCUCGAUGUUGGAUCAGGGUAUCCCAGUGGUGCAGCCGCUACUAAAGGUUCGUUUGUUCAACGAUUAAAACCCUACGUGAUCU